AUAGAAAUGAGUUAUUUUGAACAAUGGUAGGGAAGACGUUGAAUCAUCCAGGAAGGCUUUCUGCUUUAAUAUCAAUUUUAACUCAUAUAUUGCCAAAUCCGGACACGUCUGAGAGAACGCCAGCAAUCAAUGAGGUUGGAUAUUUUGGAAAUGAUUCUGUGAGGAUCCCCACCAGAUAUCAGAUGGGCUCCAUCAGUUUUACUGCUGCAAUGUAAAUAUACAGUCACUCGCAGGAGGAGUAUGUAUAUGAAGCAGUUACACAAUAUUCUGCAUUUUACUGUACCUGGAAACUUUUAGCGUUGAUACUUCUCUGGGUGUCCGUGGA